GGGUUGUAGGUUUGUCAGUUUGGCUGAUGAGGGUGAUGUUAAUUCAGCGGAAUGAGCAUCGCAUGGAUUAGCGAUCUUCAGCAUCGCAUCAUGAGGUGACUGGAUGAAAUUAUUUGUCAGUCCACUCUCAGUGAAGGCAUUAACAUCAGAUAUCUGGUACAGAGGACCUUCAUUCCACCAGUGCAUUUCAGGAAUGGGUUUACAGCGUGGAGCUUGUACUAUGAUUACUAUUGCUCCAGCUAACAUGCCAACCCAACCAAGAAAAAAAAGAGCCAACAAAGCCCAACGAAUCCGAAUCCACCUGCAGAAGACAGGCAAACAUAACUACAUCAGACAGACAGACUGAGAGGAAUGUAUAAAUCUGAUAAUGCUCAUAUAGGUUGCGCACCCUGGAGUACCAGCGACUUUCACAAGCUCGUCUUUGGAGAGGCCUGUGUACUUCACUGCAGUGUUCUCCGGGACGGUGACCUUCACGCAGCCAUUUUCUCGGGUCAUUAAUUGUUUUGUCUGAUCCACUUCCUUCAGUUCUAUGUCCUUCAUUUCUCCUGUUUAUAUAAGUUUGUCUAAAAACACUGAAUUAAUAAACAGAUA
rnacentral:lncRNA from 1 species